rnacentral:rRNA from 1 species
AGUGAACGCUGGCGGUAGGCCUAACACAUGCAAGUCGAACGGCAGCACAGUAAGAGCUUGCUCUUACGGGUGGCGAGUGGCGGACGGGUGAGGAAUACAUCGGAAUCUACUUUUUCGUGGGGGAUAACGUAGGGAAACUUACGCUAAUACCGCAUACGACCUACGGGUGAAAGCAGGGGAUCUUCGGACCUUGCGCGAUUGAAUGAGCCGAUGUCGGAUUAGCUAGUUGGCGGGGUAAAGGCCCACCAAGGCGACGAUCCGUAGCUGGUCUGAGAGGAUGAUCAGCCACACUGGAACUGAGACACGUUCCAGACUCCUACGGGAGGCAGCAGUGGGGAAUAUUGGACAGUGGGCGCAAGCCUGAUCCAGCCAUACCGCGUGGGUGAAGAAGGCCUUCGGGUUGUAAAGCCCUUUUGUUGGGAAAGAAAAGCAGCAGGUUAAUACCCCGCUGUUCUGACGGUACCCAAAGAAUAAGCACCGGCUAACUUCGUG